GCCUUCGUGGUGCAGUAGUCAGCAAGCUUGGCCCGUAUUCGAAAAUUCCGUGGUUCGAGUCCCGGUGAGGGCA
rnacentral:tRNA from 1 species